rnacentral:lncRNA from 1 species
CGAGCGUGAUGUUACUCCUUGCCGCAGAAGCCGGGGGAGUUGUACAGCACGCUUGUGCCCCUUUGACAGUGUGACCCUGCUGGGAGAUGGGGCAGGACUGCAGGACCAGGAGCCUAAUUAGCACCAUAAUGUUGCACUGAAAUGAGCCUAGAGUGAUAGUUGCGUUUUGCGCGUAAAUCGGGACAAAAUCCUGCUUUAGUACACGUAUGGCAUUGACUAACUUGUACGCAGAAACACACACUGGUUCUGAAAUCGGCCACCACUUCACGUGUCAUCCUUCCUCCUGCAUCUGUCCCUGCACUUCUUUAGCUGACGGAUGCUGCUGACUGAAAUACAGGUUUCCCCGCAGAGGGGCCCCUGUAGCUUGGCAUUCUCAGUGUAUUUGGACGGUGUGUACUUAGUUGGAGAAGGGGUCAGGAUUUCAUACUGAGAUUAUGUGGGUUUCUUGAAAACACUUCCAUACAUUUCAGUGUCUAAAAAGAGGCCAAGUUUGGGGCCAUCACUGCUGAGCUGCAAACCGGAAACUACAGGAAAAUUUAGCAGAAGCAACUUGUGGUACACCUGUGACAGUACCGAUACACCUGGGAGAAGAAUCGGGUCUGGAGAUCUACCAGCUAAGAGUGCUGAGGCAGAACAGCUGGCUGAAGGGAAGGAAGUGUGUCUUUGGAAAGCCCCAGCUCAGCUGCUGCAGUGACUCAGAGACAGGCACUUCCAGGGACGCAUCCCUGUUCCCGGUCCCGGCUGGCCCCGCAGGUGUCCCACCACAGACGGCAGAAGCACCUAAGAUCAUCCAUGCUUGGAUUUCCUUUAUUGGCUGUUUCACAGGAGACUGCAAGGGGGGUUUUAUGCUUCCAUGGCUCCUUUCCAUCCUGCCCUGUGAGGAAGUUACCCAACUACAACGGUGUGCGGUUUCAGACAGAAAACAAAAGCUGGCUGUUUUGAAAUCAAACCAGAAGUGGCUCUAUUACACAUUUCAUGCUAUUGAAAGUAUAUUUGACUAAAUACGUAUUUAAACUAUUGUGGUAUUGUUUUGAAUUCUAAGGUUUUCAAAUGUGUCCAGUGAAUAUGUCACUUCCACAAACUAAGAUUUCAGUUUUGACAUGCAACUCACAUCUAGCCUGAAAAAUUAAUGCUGUAGUUAAAAACAUACUUUUCUUUCUUCAUUAUACUGACAGAAAGCCAAAAGCAAAAUUACCAUGGAAGCUGAAGCUGUUGCUCCUAGAGUGUAUACAGAUAGUUGCAGUAGGAAUACUUUUAUCCAUCCUGCUCAUCAUUAGUUUCUCCCAGCAAGUUCUAGCUGGGGAGUUGAUUUCUUUGGGAUCUAGAGAAUGGAGGGUGGAUUCCCCAGUCAUGGAGCAGGCUUUCACUUCAAAGCAGUUAACGCAUUGUGCACGGA